GAUGAACGCUGGCGGCGUGCCUAAUACAUGCAAGUCGAGCGAACAGACGAGGAGCUUGCUCCUCUGACGUUAGCGGCGGACGGGUGAGUAACACGUGGAUAACCUACCUAUAAGACUGGGAUAACUUCGGGAAACCGGAGCUAAUACCGGAUAACAUGUUGAACCGCAUGGUUCAACAGUGAAAGACGGUCUUGCUGUCACUUAUAGAUGGAUCCGCGCCGCAUUAGCUAGUUGGUAAGGUAACGGCUUACCAAGGCAACGAUGCGUAGCCGACCUGAGAGGGUGAUCGGCCACACUGGAACUGAGACACGGUCCAGACUCCUACGGGAGGCAGCAGUAGGGAAUCUUCCGCAAUGGGCGAAAGCCUGACGGAGCAACGCCGCGUGAGUGAUGAAGGUCUUCGGUUCGUAAAACUCUGUUAUUAGGGAAGAACAAAUGUGUAAGUAACUAUGCACGUCUUGACGGUACCUAAUCAGAAAGCCACGGCUAACUACGUG
rnacentral:rRNA from 1 species